CACGCAAAGUCGGUGGUUCUAAUCCUGGUGUAGCCACAAUAAGAUCCGCACAGCUGUUAGGCCCUUGAGCAAGGCCCUUGAGCAAGGCCCUUAACCCUACAUUGGUCCAGGGGAGGAUUGUCUCUCUGGAUAAGAGCGUCUGCCAAAUGCCAAUAAUGUAAUGUAAUCUCCAGGAACAGGAUACCAGUUUGACAACUUGCAGUCUUUUCUGCAACCAUGUUUGUUACUCACCAUGAUAACAGAAGUUGGACAAUCUUAGCAACAUUGAAAAGGAACGGGAUGAACAAGCUCCUGCCAGGUCAGGAGAUCCAGGACAGCUUGAGGCACCACCUUCACCAGACCGGCCUGCAUGGCUACAAUCUGGAACAUGGACAGAAGCCAGUUCAUGCACAAGACAAUGGAAGCUGGACAGCACCAUCAAUCCACUAGGCAUUCCGUGACUACAAAUAACACAAACACAGUAGUCAGAACACAUGCAUGAACACAAGCGCACACACACACCUGCUCCCGGCUCUCCUCCAGCCUGGCCUUCCGCACCAGUCGGAGGAACUCCUUGCGGUCCUCGUAUUUGACCACGGUGCUGCCGCCGCCUGGGACCAGCUCCACCAGCUGACCGUCGCUCAGCAGGGUGGUGUAGGUCAGCUCCUGGCCAAACUUAAACUCAAAUGUCUCCUCGUCCAUGUUCUCCAUGGCCUCCAGCAGCUUCACCUGAGGAGGAAUGGCCACAGCUCCCAUCAGCCCAAACACACACUAUAGACUGGAAU